rnacentral:rRNA from 1 species
CCUACGGGGGGCUGCAGUGGGGAAUUUUGCGCAAUGGGGGAAACCCUGACGCAGCAACGCCGCGUGAGUGAUGAAGGCCUUCGGGUCGUAAAGCUCUGUCAGAGGGAAAGAAGUGCGAGAGGGUUAAUACCCCUUUUGCUUGACGGUACCCUCAAAGGAAGCACCGGCUAACUCCGUGCCAGCAGCCGCGGUAAUACGGAGGGUGCGAGCGUUGUUCGGAAUUAUUGGGCGUAAAGCGCGUGUAGGCGGUCUUUUAAGUCUGAUGUGAAAGCCCCGGGCUCAACCUGGGAAGUGCAUUGGAAACUGGGAGACUUGAAUACGGGAGAGGGUAGUGGAAUUCCUAGUGUAGGAGUGAAAUCCGUAGAUAUUAGGAGGAACACCGGUGGCGAAGGCGGCUACCUGGACCGAUAUUGACGCUGAGACGCGAAAGCGUGGGGAGCAAACAGGAUUAGAUACCCGUGUAGUC